UAAUGCCAGGUCACUCGGUAAAACUCUGUGAAACUUCAUUGGUUAUAGGCUGAAUGCUUAAUUUUGAAAUGUUUUUAUUCAGUUUAUUUGUUUUACCUCAUAUUUGUUUAAUCCCUGUCAAGUUUUACUUCAAAAAUCCAUCAACCGAAUUGCCUACUGUGUGCAGGAUGUAGGAUACUUCUGAAUUUGGAGGGUUGUUGAAGGAAGAGUAUGCGCAUGAGGGUGCCUGAGCUCGACGAUAUGUGUAUGUUCUAUUACCCCUUCUCCUUCUAGGGGCGUAACUUCUAGUUAGUGGGCUAUAUUUGAUUAAAAAACUACAUCAAUAAAAAAAGAGAUUGCAUGGUUAAAAAAUAUACUGUGGGCAUCUUUUGACCCUAUUGAUCUAUUCACCACAUUUUUAGCAUUGUUUUAGUUUACCAAUUGACCCGUUUAAGAUAGAAGAUAACUUAACUCAGUUUGAGCCAUUAUAAACUAAUGGGAAAGAUUCUUAUUGUGAACCCUCUUUUCGUUAGGUGAUGGCAAUAUAGAUAACUAGAUGUAUUGAAAGAACCACCCAAUCUUUGGCUGCAGAGAGCUUAAAGUGAUGUCAAAAGAAGUUGAAUAUAGUGAAUUGGCUGAUGCGGCGAUAAUAAGGAGUAAGUGCAUGGACCAACUUUGAAGUGGGAAAUACGAUCGCUAAGAAAGAGUUAACACAAUGAAUAUUUUACUCGCAUGAAGAUUGUGAAAGAGAUUCAAGAACACAAUAGAGUUUUUGUUCAAACAUUUUUUAAAUAUAUGUUUUGUAUGUUCGAUAUUUAGACGGUACGUUGACACUUAUUAGUUAUUUCUUUGCAAACAUUUGGAUUCUUUGGAAGAUGAUUGAUUGAACUUUUAAUUGAAUUAAUUAUAUUAUUAUGAUUUC